GACAGAGGGUGCGAGCGUUGUUCGGAUUUACUGGGCGUAAAGGGCGCGUAGGCGGUUUUGUAAGUCUUGGGUGAAAUACUGGAGCUCAACUCCAGUGCUGCUCUAGAUACUGCAAGGCUUGAGAGUGGGAGAGGUAGAUGGAAUUCCUAGUGGAGAGGUAAAAUUCGUAGAUAUUAGGAGGAACGCCAGAGGCGAAAGCGGUCUACUGGAACAUUUCUGACGCUGAGGCGCGAAAGCGUGGGGAUCAAAC
rnacentral:rRNA from 1 species